ensembl:lncRNA
CUAGCCCAGGGAAAAUAGAUCUGCACAGCUUCAGCAGCUCCACAGAUGAAAAUGAGAACAAGACAACUGAGCAACAUCAAUGUUAGUGUGCUCUGCACAUUUCACUCUGGACAGUUUCUCAAACCUGGGACAAUAUCGAGCAGGCUUUGCUCAGCGUUUGAUGCUAAAGAGAGAGGCACUUUCAGCUUUAUUGGCAUCACAACCCCAACUGCAACCUCUUCUUGCUUUGCCCUGGUGGAUGGGCACACUUCAGAAGUGGUGGUGACGAGGAUGCAGUGUCAAACCAACAGCCUUGCCACUAAUUUCAACCGGCCUGAAAAUAGGCUUCAAAGCCAUAGCCCUCCAAGAUGUCAUGCUUGGCUUAUAUACUCAACCUGACUCCUGAAAGGUUACAUGUAUAACCAAUGAAAACCUACAGGGUCCAGGGCCGGACCUAGCCCAUUUGGUGCCCUAGGCAAGCUUCACCCCUCCAAGACGUCAUGCUUGGGACACAAAGCCAGAUGAAUCUGGAGCGCUCCAAGAGCAGGAUAGGAACAGAUGCUGGGACAGCUGCUGAUGCAUUACCAGAAGAAGGACCAUCUUCAGAUGUCCCAGAUAUCUUGGCUAAAAGGAAGAUUAAGCCACCUCUCUCUGACCUAGAUAUUCCCUAAAGACAUAGUCCAGUGAGGAGCCUUGCAUCACUUGAUAUUUGUGUCUGCCUUGUAAACAAAGUAUUAUUAUGACGUUGUUACAAGUAAGCAAGUAUUAUUAUGCAUGCAACAAUAUCUCUGUCAAGAUGUAGCCGU